rnacentral:lncRNA from 1 species
CCGGCCUCUGGUUUCUUAUCUUUUCCUUUCUUGGUGGUUGGGUGGAGGAGGCAAGGAGGGAUGGAGCGGUCCUCCAGGUCACAGAGGAACUCUUCCUUUAGGAUGCACUGACUCUAAAGAAAUCAUCAUCUAUGCAUGAUUUUAGGUAGGGUCGAAAGAAGCACUGAUCUUGGACUGGGAAGAUCUAGGUACUAGUUCAGCUACGUCACCUUAGUCUCAGAAUAAAAGCAUGAAAACUGCAAAAAAAGAUGUUUGACAGCUGCCACAGACUUAUAACUCAUGUAAGCUGUUUCUCAAAUAUCUGCCCAGUGGUGCUGGUGAGAGCCCGAUGAAAAUGCACAAAGAGUGACACAACCUGGCCACCACUAAGAAGUAAAGAGCUCAGUGAUUUCUCAUCUAUUCUUUCACAGCUACACACCAAUGAAAACAAACACCCGAAACCGUCUUCUGUGGCAUUUGUCAGUUGAAAAAGAACACCUUAGACUUAACUUUUAAAAUGUCUGUAAUAAAAAUAUAAUUCCAUUUUCUUUUCUCGUUUGGUUCUGUUAUGCUCAGUGUUACUUGUGACAGAUAAAACAUUAUUUACAAC